AUGGAAAUACUUACAAAAAAAAUUCUUCACACUAUUCUCCUCCCUCUGCCUCUGUUCCUUUUUCGCUGUGAACCAGUGAUAGGAAGAGGAGGAGAGCUAGGCAAUGCUUCACUCCGGGAAUAAUACCCAGCUCUGUAUAAUAUUGUGCGUCACAAGGGUGAUACUAUCGCCGCGGUUAUGGAAUCAUUUCCGCCAAACGUGUCGUUCAGAAGAGAUUUAAUUGGACCCAGACUCCAAUCGUGGAACAUCCUGCUCCAGCGGUUAUCCACGGUGCAAUUGUCACAAGGGUCCGAUGAAUUUCGCUGGAACCUACAAGGGAAUGGUCAAUUCUUAGUGGAGUCCAUGUACAGAGCCUUGCUCCAAUCCGAUGUGCCAGUUGAUAAUAAUAAAAAGAUCUGA
rnacentral:rRNA from 1 species